rnacentral:rRNA from 1 species
GAUGAACGCUGGCGGCGUGCCUAAUACAUGCAAGUCGAGCGAACAGACGAGGAGCUUGCUCCUCUGACGUUAGCGGCGGACGGGUGAGUAACACGUGGAUAACCUACCUAUAAGAGUGGGAUAACUUCGGGAAACCGGAGCUAAUCCCGGAUAAUAUCUUGAACCGCAUGGUUCAAUAGUAAAAGACGGCUUUGCUGUCACUUAUCGCUGGAUACGGGCCGCAUUAGCUAGUUGUGAAGGUAACGGCUUACCAAGGGGACGAUGCGUUGCCGACCGGAGAGGCUGAUAGGCGGCACGGGAAGGUGAACACGGACAAGACUCCUGAGGGAGGCCGCAGUCUGGUACGUGACGCAAUGGGCGAAAGCCUGACGCAGCAAGGGGAAGCGAGUGAUGGAGGUCUCCGGAGCGUGAAACUCUGUUAUGAGGGAAGAACCAAUGUGGAAGUAAAUAAGGACUGCUUGACGGUAACGAGUCAAAAAGCCCCGGCUAACUACGUG